rnacentral:lncRNA from 1 species
GUUUGGAACUUUGGAUUGAGCUUUGUGGCUAAUGGGCUUAUGUAUGAUUUGAAUAUCUAGGCGUAGUACCGACCGUCUCUAGAGCAAGUGGUAAAGGGUUUGGUGGUUGGUGCCCGAGAUUCAGGUUCGAAUCCUAGUUGAUUCACAUUUCUAGCUAAGUUUAUUUUUAAAUGAAAUAAACGAAACAUAUAGCGUGUUAUCUAUCUCUCAAAAAAUAACAAAAGAAAAUCUAGGGGUAGUAGUAAUAUCAUAAUCAGGUGG